UACGUAGGGGGCUAGCGUUGUCCGGAUUUAUUGGGCGUAAAGAGCGUGUAGGCGGCCAUGUAGGUCCGGUGUGAAAACUCGAGGCUUAACCUCGAGAUGUCAUCGGAAACCAUUUGGCUAGAGUCCGGAAGAGGAGAGUGGAAUUCCUGGUGUAGCGGUGAAAUGCGCAGAUAUCAGGAAGAACACCAAUGGCGAAAGCAGCUCUCUGGGACGGUACUGACGCUGAGACGCGAAAGCAUGGGGAGCGAACAGG
rnacentral:rRNA from 1 species